UCUGAUGAAGAUGCCUCGGAUGGAUUCUUGGCGGCGUUUUCAUCCUCGGCAUCGUACCUCUGUUCUCGGGAAGUUUCCGGCGUGGCGCUGUUGCUGUUGCCGCCUCCGUCCCACAGAGCGCGUAAGAAUCCUGCAUUUGUUUGUUCCAGAUGAUUUGGUUCCAUCGAUCAGUCAGAAAUUUUCGAUUGAAGAAGCUACCCUGCAAAAUUACCUUGAGACUUGAUCCAGCAAUGGCGGAAUCGACGAGACGAUACUCGUGCAUGACCCAAUCGGUACGGAUUCCGUGCGGCGCUCUGCCUCUGUAAUACACCAACGUCUUCUU